rnacentral:misc_RNA from 1 species
GAAAUGCGAUAAUUAAUGUGAAUUGCAGAAUUCAGUGAAUCAUCGAGUCUUUGAACGCACAUUGCGCCCCCUGGUAUUCCGGGGGGCAUGCCUGUCCGAGCGUCAUUGCUGCCCUCAAGCACGGCUUGUGUGUUGGGCUUCCGUCCCUGGCAACGGGGACGGGCCCAAAAGGCAGUGGCGGCACCAUGUCUGGUCCUCGAGCGUAUGGGGCUUUGUCACCCGCUCCCGUAGGUCCAGCUGGCAGCUAGCCUCGCAACCAAUCUUUUUAACCAGGUUGACCUCGGAUCAGGUAGGGAUACCCGCUGAACUAAAGC